CUACUGGGCUUUAACUGACGCUGAGGCACGAAAGCGUGGGUAGCAAACAGGAUUAGAUACCCUGGUAGUCCACGCUGUAAACGAUGAUUACUAGGUGUGGGGGGUCUGACCCCUUCCGUGCCGGAGUUAACACAAUAAGUAAUCCACCUGGGGAGUACGACCGCAAGGUUGAAACUCAAAGGAAUUGACGGGGGCCCGCACAAGCAGUGGAGUAUGUGGUUUAAUUCGAAGCAACGCGAAGAACCUUACCAGGUCUUGACAUCGAGUGACGAAUCUAGAGAUAGAUUUUUCCUUCGGGACACGAAGACAGGUGGUGCAUAGUUGUCGUCAGCUCGUGUCGUGAGAUGUUGGGUUAAGUCCCGCAACGAGCGCAACCCUUGCUAUUAGUUGCUACGCAAGAGCACUCUAAUAGGACUGCCGUUGACAAAACGGAGGAAGGUGGGGACGACGUCAAAUCAUCAUGCCCCUUAUGACCUGGGCUACACACGUACUACAAUGGAUGUUAACAGAGGGAAGCAAAAUAGCGAUAUGGGGCAAACCCCUAAAAGCAUUCCCAGUUCAGAUUGCAGGCUGCAACUCGCCUGUAUGAAGUUGGAAUUGC
rnacentral:rRNA from 1 species